rnacentral:rRNA from 1 species
UAGAGUUUGAUCCUGGCUCAGAUUGAACGCUGGCGGCAGGCCUAACACAUGCAAGUCGAGCGGCAGCGGGAAGUAGCUUGCUACUUUGCCGGCGAGCGGCGGACGGGUGAGUAAUGUCUGGGAAACUGCCUGAUGGAGGGGGAUAACUACUGGAAACGGUAGCUAAUACCGCAUGAUGUCGCAAGACCAAAGUGGGGGACCUUCGGGCCUCACGCCAUCGGAUGUGCCCAGAUGGGAUUAGCUAGUAGGUGGGGUAAUGGCUCACCUAGGCGACGAUCCCUAGCUGGUCUGAGAGGAUGACCAGCCACACUGGAACUGAGACACGGUCCAGACUCCUACGGGAGGCAGCAGUGGGGAAUAUUGCACAAUGGGCGCAAGCCUGAUGCAGCCAUGCCGCGUGUGUGAAGAAGGCCUUAGGGUUGUAAAGCACUUUCAGCGAGGAGGAAGGCGUUGUAGUUAAUAGCUGCAACGAUUGACGUUACUCGCAGAAGAAGCACCGGCUAACUCCGUGCCAGCAGCCGCGGUAAUACGGAGGGUGCAAGCGUUAAUCGGAAUUACUGGGCGUAAAGCGCACGCAGGCGGUUUGUUAAGUCAGAUGUGAAAUCCCCGAGCUUAACUUGGGAACUGCAUUUGAAACUGGCAAGCUAGAGUCUUGUAGAGGGGGGUAGAAUUCCAGGUGUAGCGGUGAAAUGCGUAGAGAUCUGGAGGAAUACCGGUGGCGAAGGCGGCCCCCUGACAAAGACUGACGCUCAGGUGCGAAAGCGUG